rnacentral:rRNA from 1 species
AACUAACGCUGGCGGCGUGCCUAACACAUGCAAGUCGUACGAGAAAGUUGGCUUCGGCCGAUGAGUACAGUGGCGCACGGGUGAGUAACGCGUGGAUAAUCUGCCCUUAAGUGUGGAAUAACGUACCGAAAGGUGCGCUAAUACCGCAUAAUGCCUGGCAACAUAAGUUGUCCGGCCAAAGAAGGCCUCUGCUUGCAAGCUUUCGCUAAAGGAUGAGUCCGCGUACCAUUAGCUAGUUGGUGGGGUAACGGCCUACCAAGGCGACGAUGGUUAGCUGGUCUGAGAGGAUGAUCAGCCACACUGGAACUGAGACACGGUCCAGACUCCUACGGGAGGCAGCAGUGAGGAAUAUUGCGCAAUGGGGGCAACCCUGACGCAGCAACGCCGCGUGAGUGAGGAAGGUUUUCGGACUGUAAAGCUCUGUUGUACGGGAAGAAGGAUGUGACGGUACCGUACGAGAAAGCCCCGGCAAACUACGUGCCAGCAGCCGCGGUAA